rnacentral:hammerhead_ribozyme from 1 species
GUACUGAUGAAGAGUCCCAAGCCAGGACGAAAUAGCUAUCCAGUAC